UCAGUAACGGCGAGUGAAGCGGCAAAAGCUCAAAUUUGAAAUCUGGCCUCUGGUCCGAGUUGUAAUUUGAAGAAGCGACUUUGGUACCGGCUCUUGUCUAUGUUCCUUGGAACAGGACGUCACAGAGGGUGAGAAUCCCGUGCGAUGAGAUGUCCGGUGCUAUGUAAAGCGUUUUCGACGAGUCGAGUUGUUUGGGAAUGCAGCUCUAAGUGGGUGGUAAAUUCCAUCUAAAGCUAAAUAUUGGCGAGAGACCGAUAGCGAACAAGUACAGUGAUGGAAAGAUGAAAAGAACUUUGAAAAGAGAGUGAAAAAGUACGUGAAAUUGUUGAAAGGGAAGGGCUUGAGAUCAGACUUUGUAUUUCCAUGGCGCUCUUUCGGGGGUGUCCUCUGGGUUUACAGGGCCAGCAUGGGUUCUGCGGGCGAGAUAAGGACUUAGGAAUGUGGCUCCGCUUCGGGGGAGUGUUAUAGCCUGAUGUACUGGUCGCCACGCGGGACCGAGGACUGCGAAUCUAGGAUGCUGGCAUAAUGAUCUUAAGCCGCCCGUCUUG
rnacentral:rRNA from 1 species